UCUUCAAGUAUACUGCAAGUUAUGAUAAUUGGUAGCUUAAUUAUCAGUUAGAAAAUGAACCCAUGAGUAGAAUUUUGUAAAAUGUUGAAAACAAUUAGGAUAAGGUGUUCUUGAAUAUGCAAUUUCAUUUUGGUUUUCUAUUAAAUAUAUGGAAUCUGUAGUGUAAUUCCACUAGUAUUGGCUGAAUUAGGACUGGCUAAGUUUAAUGAAAUGCAUGUUGGAAGUGAUUUUGUGAUCAUAAAAUUGAUCGAAAUGGAAUUUUAACAUGGAUUGCGACCUGGUGAAAAUCGAUCUCUAUGUAAAUUGCACUGGCAUAAGAAGAAUAAAACACUACCACCACCACCACUCAACUCAAGGGGAUGUGGAGGUUGAUAAAUAACUGCAUAUGAGACAUCUUUAAGGUCGAUUUUAUGCCUUUGAGAAAGCUCAAAAGUUGGAUCCAGCUUCAAGUGGACGAGGUGUUAGCUCAUAUAAGUCUGCUCUUUUACAACGUCUAGAAAAGGAAGACGUACCCACCUUAAUGGGAAGAGUGAAAAAGACUGACGCACGUGAGAUUAAGAGUUUUUACAAGCAGUACCACCGGAGUUUCAUGGAAUCAUUGCAGAAGGCUGCUGAUAAAGCUUAUCAUACAGAACUCAGAAAGGCGUGGCAAACUGUUGGUGUCCUAUGCAAGUCUGUGAACCUGAAACAAGCGGUUCAAGUAGCUGAUGGUUUAAAGUUAGCAGUACCCCCACCUCCAUUUCCACCUCAUCCUUAGAGCAUGGCGCAUGGAAAUUAUGGCAACUUGAAAAAGGAAAUUAGUAGCUGUAACUACCGAGUAUUAUUGUGUAUUUAAGGACAGAUUACCUACGUUCUUGAUAUGUGCACUGAAUGUUAAUAUUAUUGUUAUUGAUUUAUCAACCAGGUAGAAAUGUUGUUAACCAAAGUUUGCUAGGUGCUUUGGCUACUCAUCAUAUGUCUGUUCUCCGUUUUCCCAUACGUUGAAGUCAGAAGCCGAAAUCAGAAACU